UUGCGGUUAAAACGCUCGUAGUUGGAUAUCUGCUAAGGGGUUCCGGUCCUUCCAAGUGGAGAAUACGCGGAACUCUUCUUGGCAUUUGUUCAGGGAAGAUGUUUGCACUUCAUUGUGUGUCAUUUGAUCUGAAUUUUUACUUUGAGGAAAUGAGAGUGUUUCAAGCAGGCUUUCGCCGUGAAUAUGAUAGCAUGGAAUAAUAGCAAGGACCGUGUGUCAGAGCUGUUGGUGUUUGGCACGUGGUAAGUUUUAAUAAGGAUAGUUGGGGGUAUUCGUAUUUAACUGUCAGAGGUGAAAUUCUUGGAUUUUUUAAAGACGAACUAUUGCGAAGGCAUUUACCCAGGAUGUUUUUAUUGAUCAAGAACGAAAGUUAGGGGAUCGAAGACGAUCAGAUACCGUCCUAGUCUUAACCUUAAACUAUGCCGACUGGGGAUUGGACGUUGUCAACUUCUGACACGUUCAGCACCCUGAGAGAAAUCUAAGUCUUUGGGUUCCGGGGGGAGUAUGGUCGCAAGGCUGAAUACUUAAAGGAAUGGACGGAAGGGCACCACCAGGAGUGGAGCCUGCGGCUUAAUUUGACUCAACACUGGGUAAACUCACCUUGUCCAGACAUAGAUAGGAUUGACAGACUGAUAGCUCU
rnacentral:rRNA from 1 species